rnacentral:rRNA from 1 species
ACAGCUCAAAUUUGAAAUCUGGCCUCCCGGGGUCCGAGUUGUAAUUUGUAGAGGAUGUUUUGGGUACCGCCCCGGUUUAAAUUUCUUGGAACAGAAUGUCAGAGAGGGUGAGAAUCCCGUCUUGGACCGGUGGUAGGGCCUGUGUAAAACUCCUUCGACGAGUCGAGUUGUUUGGGAAUGCAGCUCAAAAUGGGUGGUAAAUUUCAUCUAAAGCUAAAUAUUGGCCAGAGACCGAUAGCGCACAAGUAGAGUGAUCGAAAGAUGAAAAGAACUUUGAAAAGAGAGUUAAACAGUAUGUGAAAUUGUUGAAAGGGAAGCGCUUGCAACCAGACUUGAGCGCGACGGUUCCCCUAGCCUUUUGGCUAGGUUACUCCGUCGUGUCCAGGCCAACAUCGGUUCUGAGGGUCGGUCAAAGGCUCUGGGAAUGUAUCUACCCACGGGUAGACUUAUAGACCAGGGUGUCAUGCGACCUCUCGGGACCGAGGAACGCGCUUCGGCUCGGAUGUUGGCGUAAUGGUUGUCAGCGACCCGUCUUGAAACACGGACCAAGGAGUCUAACAUCUAUGCGAGUGUUUGGGUGUCAAACCCGGAACGCGAAAUGAAAGUGAACGGAGGUAGGAAGCUUCGGCUGCACUAUCGACCGAUCCUGAAGUUUACGGAUGGAUUUGAGUAAGAGCAUAGCUGUUGGGACCCGAAAGAUGGUGAAC